rnacentral:ncRNA from 1 species
GGAUCCGGGAGAGCCGCCUGGCGGCGCCGAAGGGGUAAUCGCGUAAACUCUCAGGUUUCAGGACCGGAU